AAGGGAGACCUAAUUCAGGUAAAAGACGAAAAAAAAGUAGUCGCUACCAAGAAUCAAUCCCAAAAGGUCGGAGCGAGGCGAAAUUGGCUUUCAAACUAGGUUCUGGGUUCAAACAAGACCUGAAUCAGGAACAAGGGCUAUUAGCUCAGGUGGUUAGAGCGCACCCCUGAUAAGGGUGAGGUCCCUGGUUCGAGUCCAGGAUGGCCCACCUGCACAGGUGGCAAAAACAAGAGAAGCGAGGAAUCAGCACCUUAUCUUACUUAUAUAGUAAGAGAGAAUGCUGGCUCUGAGUAAAGAGUCCAGAGGAACCUUGAAACCUGCAUAGAGCUAGGUGAAAAAGCCAAAAAAGAAGACCGCAAGGUCAAGCUAAUAAGGGCUAACGGUGGAUACCUAGGCAC
rnacentral:tRNA from 1 species